rnacentral:rRNA from 1 species
GAUGAACGCUGGCGGCGUGCCUAACACAUGCAAGUCGAGCGGACCAAUGCCCAUUUCAGCUUUGCUGAUUUGAGCAACGGUUAGCGGCGGACGGGUGAGUAACGCGUGGGCAACCUGCCCUGUGCAGGGGGAUAACACAGCGAAAGCUGUGCUAAUACCCCAUAAGACUACGCUAUCGCAUGAUAGAGUAGUCAAAGCUUUAGCGGCACAGGAUGGGCCCGCGUCUGAUUAGCUAGUUGGUGGGGUAACGGCCUACCAAGGCGACGAUCAGUAGCCGACCUGAGAGGGUGAUCGGCCACACUGGAACUGAGACACGGUCCAGACUCCUACGGGAGGCAGCAGUGGGGAAUAUUGCACAAUGGGGGAAACCCUGAUGCAGCAACGCCGCGUGAGCGAAGAAGGCCUUCGGGUCGUAAGGCUCUGUCCUAAGGGAAGAAGCAUGACGGUACCUUAGGAGGAAGCCCCGGCUAACUACGUGCCAGCAGCCGCGGUAAUACGUAGGGGGCGAGCGUUAUCCGGAAUCACUGGGCGUAAAGGGUGCGUAGGCGGCCGAGUAAGCCAGGGGUGAAAGGCUACGGCUUAACCGUAGUAAGCCUUUGGAACUACUUGGCUUGAGUGCAGGAGAGGAGAGUGGAAUUCCUAGUGUAGCGGUGAAAUGCGUAGAUAUUAGGAGGAACACCAGUGGCGAAGGCGACUCUCUGGACUGUAACUGACGCUGAGGCACGAAAGCGUGGGGAGCAAACAGGAUUAGAUACCCUGGUAGUCCACGCCGUAAACGAUGAGUGCUAGGUGUCGGGGGUUCACACCCUCGGUGCCGGAGUUAACGCAAUAAGCACUCCGCCUGGGGAGU